AUGGCAGACGAGGACUUCCGUGAAAGACUGGUGGAACGGCAACCUUCAGAUUCGCCUUGGCUCCCUAAGGGGCUAGCCUCCUUGAUGAUGCUUAUCUCAUGGGAGAUAUGGACAGAGCGUAACGCUAGGGUCUUUCGAAACACGGCCGUCCCUUCCAUGGUCCUAAUAUGUAAGAUCAAAGAGGAGAUGUUUCUUUGGGCAGUGGCGGGUGCGAAGCACAUGAGUGUUGUAAUACCGCGAGAGUAG
rnacentral:rRNA from 1 species